AUACAACGAAGAGUUUGAUCCUGGCUCAGGAUGAACGCUAGCGACAGGCCUAACACAUGCAAGUCGAGGGGCAUCGGGGAGCGAAGCUUGCUUUGCUCCGCCGGCGACCGGCGCACGGGUGAGUAACGCGUAUGCAACCUGCCCGUUUCAGCGGGAUAACCCGGAGAAAUCCGGCCUAAUACCGCAUGUGGCCGAGGGGAG
rnacentral:rRNA from 1 species